rnacentral:rRNA from 1 species
CUCUAGAGAUUGCUCAGGACGAACGCUGGCGGCGUGCUUAACACAUGCAAGUCGAACGAUGAAGCGGUGCUUGCACCGUGGAUUAGUGGCGAACGGGUGAGUAACACGUGAGUAACCUGCCCCUUUCUCUGGGAUAAGCGCUGGAAACGGCGUCUAAUACUGGAUAUUCAGGUCCUGCCGCAUGGUGGGGUUUGGAAAGAUUUUUUGGUGAGGGAUGGGCUCGCGGCCUAUCAGUUUGUUGGUGGGGUAAUGGCCUACCAAGACGACGACGGGUAGCCGGCCUGAGAGGGUGACCGGCCACACUGGGACUGAGACACGGCCCAGACUCCUACGGGAGGCAGCAGUGGGGAAUAUUGCACAAUGGGCGAAAGCCUGAUGCAGCGACGCCGCGUGAGGGAUGACGGCCUUCGGGUUGUAAACCUCUUUCAGUAGGGAAGAAGCCGCUUGCGGUGACGGUACCUGCAGAAGAAGCGCCGGCUAACUACGUGCCAGCAGCCGCGGUAAUACGUAGGGCGCAAGCGUUGUCCGGAAUUAUUGGGCGUAAAGAGCUCGUAGGCGGUUUGUCGCGUCUGCUGUGAAAACGCGAGGCUCAACCUCGCGCCUGCAGUGGGUACGGGCAGACUAGAGUGUGGUAGGGGAGACUGGAAUUCCUGGUGUAGCGGUGGAAUGCGCAGAUAUCAGGAGGAACACCGAUGGCGAAGGCAGGUCUCUGGGCCACUACUGACGCUGAGGAGCGAAAGCAUGGGGAGCGAACAGGAUUAGAUACCCUGGUAGUCCAUGCCGUAAACGUUGGGCACUAGGUGUGGGAUCCAUUCCACGGGUUCCGUGCCGCAGCUAACGCAUUAAGUGCCCCGCCUGGGGAGUACGGCCGCAAGGCUAAAACUCAAAGGAAUUGACGGGGGCCCGCACAAGCGGCGGAGCAUGCGGAUUAAUUCGGUGCAACGCGAAGAACCUUACCAAGGUUUGACAUAUACGAGAAUCUGCUAGAGAUAGCAGCCUCUUUGGACACUCGUAUACAGGUGGUGCAUGGUUGUCGUCAGCUCGUGUCGUGAGAUGUUGGGUUAAGUCCCGCAACGAGCGCAACCCUCGUCCUAUGUUGCCAGCACGUAAUGGUGGGGACUCAUAGGAGACUGCCGGGGUCAACUCGGAGGAAGGUGGGGAUGACGUCAAAUCAUCAUGCCCCUUAUGUCUUGGGCUUCACGCAUGCUACAAUGGCCGGUACAAAGGGCUGCGAUACCGUGAGGUGGAGCGAAUCCCGGAAAGCCGGUCUCAGUUCGGAUUGGGGUCUGCAACUCGACCCCAUGAAGUCGGAGUCGCUAGUAAUCGCAGAUCAGCAACGCUGCGGUGAAUACGUUCUCGGGCCUUGUACACACCGCCCGUCACGUCAUGAAAGUCGGUAACACCCGAAGCCGGUGGCCCAACCCUUGUGGGGGGAGCUGUCGAAGGUGGGAUUGGCGAUUGGGACGAAGUCGUAACAAGGUAACCAAU